AUUGAACGCUGGCGGCAGGCCUAACACAUGCAAGUCGAGCGGCAGCGGGGGAAAGCUUGCUUUCCUGCCGGCGAGCGGCGGACGGGUGAGUAAUGUCUGGGAAACUGCCUGAUGGAGGGGGAUAACUACUGGAAACGGUAGCUAAUACCGCAUAAUGUCUUCGGACCAAAGUGGGGGACCUUCGGGCCUCAUGCCAUCAGAUGUGCCCAGAUGGGAUCAGCUAGUAGGUGGGGUAACGGCUCACCUAGGCGACGAUCCCUAGCUGGUCUGAGAGGAUGACCAGCCACACUGGAACUGAGACACGGUCCAGACUCCUACGGGAGGCAGCAGUGGGGAAUAUUGCACAAUGGGCGCAAGCCUGAUGCAGCCAUGCCGCGUGUAUGAAGAAGGCCUUCGGGUUGUAAAGUACUUUCAGCGGGGAGGAAGGUGUUGUGGUUAAUAACCAUAGCAAUUGACGUUACCCGCAGAAGAAGCACCGGCUAACUCCGUGCCAGCAGCCGCCGUAAGAC
rnacentral:rRNA from 1 species